GUGCCUGUAGCUCAGAUGGAUAGAGCGUCAGCCUCCGGAGCUGAAGGUCGGGCGUUCGAGUCGCCCCAGGCACGUCA
rnacentral:tRNA from 1 species